GACGAACGCUGGCGGCGUGCUUAACACAUGCAAGUCGAACGGAAAGGCCCUGCUUUUGUGGGGUGCUCGAGUGGCGAACGGGUGAGUAACACGUGAGUAACCUGCCCUUGACUUUGGGAUAACUUCAGGAAACUGGGGCUAAUACCGGAUAGGAGCUCCUGCUGCAUGGUGGGGGUUGGAAAGUUUCGGCGGUUGGGGAUGGACUCGCGGCUUAUCAGCUUGUUGGCGGGGUAGUGGCUUACCAAGGCUUUGACGGGUAGCCGGCCUGAGAGGGUGACCGGCCACAUUGGGACUGAGAUACGGCCCAGACUCCUACGGGAGGCAGCAGUGGGGAAUAUUGCACAAUGGGCGGAAGCCUGAUGCAGCGACGCCGCGUGCGGGAUGACGGCCUUCGGGUUGUAAACCGCUUUCGCCUGUGACGAAGCGUGAGUGACGGUAAUGGGUAAAGAAGCACCGGCUAACUACGUG
rnacentral:rRNA from 1 species